rnacentral:rRNA from 1 species
CACGUAGGGCGCAAGCGUUGUCCGGAAUCAUUGGGCGUAAAGAGCGUGUAGGCGGUCCGGUUAGUCCGCUGUGAAAGUCCAGGGCUCAACCCUGGAAUGCCGGUGGAUACUGUCGGGCUAGAGUCCGGAAGGGGCGAGUGGAAUUCCUGGUGUAGCGGUGAAAUGCGCAGAUAUCAGGAGGAACACCAAUGGCGAAGGCAGCUCGCUGGGACGUGACUGACGCUGAGACGCGAAAGCGUGGGGAGCAAACAGG